UACGUAGGGUGCAAGCGUUGUCCGGAAUUAUUGGGCGUAAAGAGCUCGUAGGCGGUUUGUCGCGUCUGCUGUGAAAACUCGGGGCUCAACCCCGGGCCUGCAGUGGGUACGGGCAGACUAGAGUGCGGUAGGGGAGACUGGAAUUCCUGGUGUAGCGGUGAAAUGCGCAGAUAUCAGGAGGAACACCGAUGGCGAAGGCAGCUCGCUGGGACGGUACUGACGCUGAGGCGCGAAAGCGUGGGGAGCAAACAGG
rnacentral:rRNA from 1 species